GCCCUCUCCUCUCUCAGAAAGACGGGGCGGCGGCGGACAGUUGGAGCAAUGCAACCCAGGCGAGGAUGCUGCUGAAGCGUGUCCGAGGGUCAUGGAAGAGGUUUCAGAUGUGGCAGAUCUAGCAGCCAUGAGCGGGCGAAGUUCCAACGAAGGGUGGCCCAAGGCAAGCAAGGUCAACAGCGUCUUCACUUCCCCUAGAUCCAGCGAGGUCCAUGGCGUGGCAGCCAUGCACAAGGUACAUGCCCAUGGAAGAAAAUGCCAGAUCCAGCGGAUCCAUGACAUGGAGGCACCACAACCCCAGCGAGAUCCAUCUCCAAUGUUGCUUAUUCAACAGUUAAGUAUCUAGCUAUAUACGUGAGAUAAGAGUUAAAUAAUAUACCACCUAAAAGCAUGCUUAUUGUCUUAAUAUAUAUGUCUUGUUUGAAAAGGCCAGAUCUACGAAGUAUGGAGACUGUUUCAAGUAUUUUUUUUCCUUUUUUAUUAUUUGAAUAGAUAGUGUCUUUCUCAACUAAUAAUUUUCUGAUCUAAUUUGUUAUGGCUAGUACACCGAAUUAAUCUAUUAUGUGCUUGUUACAAUAAUUAAUCUGUCUUGUAUGCAUAUAUGGAAGCAAGAAUCAUAGUUUUUAAUUGUUCUUACA